UACGUAGGGUGCGAGCGUUGUCCGGAAUUACUGGGCGUAAAGUGCGCGCAGGCGGCAGAGCAAGUCGAGUGUGAAAGCCCCGGGCUUAACUUGGGAAUUGCGCUCGAAACUACUUUGCUGGAGUGUGGCAGAGGAAGGUGGAAUUCCACGUGUAGCGGUGAAAUGCGUAGAGAUGUGGAGGAACACCAAUGGCGAAGGCAGCCUUCUGGGCCAACACUGACGCUCAUGCACGAAAGCGUGGGGAGCAAACAGG
rnacentral:rRNA from 1 species